rnacentral:rRNA from 1 species
GACGAACCGUCCAAACGUUAUUCGGAAUUACUGGGCUUAAAGGGUGCGUAGGCGGCGCGGAAAGUUGGGUGUGAAAUCCCUCGGCUCAACCGAGGAACUGCGCCCAAUACUACCGUGCUCGAGGGAGAUAGAGGUGAGCGGAACUUAGGGUGGAGCGGUGAAAUGCGUUGAUAUCCUAAGGAACACCGGUGGCGAAAGCGGCUACACUGGAUCUCUUCUGACGCUGAGGCACGAAAGCUAGGGUAGCGAACGGG